rnacentral:tRNA from 1 species
UAUAUUUUAGUGUUAUAAUGCACGAGAAAUUUUGAUUUUCUAAGCUAUAGAGUAAUCUAUAAAGUAUAA